UCUUGGUCCAUUUAGAGGAAGUAAAAGUCGUAACAAGGUCUCCGUAGGUGACCUGCGGGGGAUCAUUAACAAACACACACAUAUGAGCCACAACGCUUGGGCAACCGUCCGUUCCUGGGUGGCGCAAGACAGCGGGAAGCGUGUCUCGUCGCGUACCAGGAGCAACACAACCACAAUGACCGUCAUAUUAUAUAUAUGGAACGAAAACGAAAACAACUUUUAACAAUGGAUCUCUUGGCUCUUGCAACGAUGAAGAACGCAGCAAAAGGCGAAACGUCAUGUGACCUGCAUGCUUUGCGAAUCAUCCAAUCUUUGAACGCAUCUUGCACCUGAUGCCUUGCGCAUCAGGUAUACCUGUUUGAGUAUGACAUGCAUGAUCACAGAGAGACGGGUUCGAUGGGCACCGAACCUGAGAGACGCUCUGUGGACUUGGCACUGUCGGUACGUGGUGUGCGUGUGUGUGGGUAGCGGCAUGGGUACGCCACAACGAUCCCUAACUAACCCMCCACCCCACUKUGCUAAAACGCAGGCCUCACCUSCCCAUGGGUUGAACCUGUCAGAGGCGGCGACGGUGGAAACAUGUGUGUGCGCGCCAUAUACCCACACAACAUAUAUCACAUCAUCAUCUCUAUCAAGUAAGAGGACCCGCUGAACUUAAUCAUAUCAAUAAGC
rnacentral:rRNA from 1 species